GCUCCAAUGGGUCAGUGGUAGACUAGCCUGCUAAUUUCUAAAGGUUCCUCUGUGCAGCAGGCAGACAUUUGUUCGAAUCCUGCUUGGAGCG